UAGUUUUUAGUUAUAUAGUAUUAUAAUUUAAUAGUAAUUGCACAUAAUAUGUAAUGCACGAUAAUAAUCUGUAAUUAAUUAUAUAUAAUAAUUGUAAACGUGCACAAUAUAGCUUUCAUAUAAUUUGUAAUGUAAUAAGUAUAACAUUAGGUAAAUAUAAAUAUUUUAGGGGCAUACACCGUUUGAACCAGAUCUGAAGUAUAGAAUAUACGUCAAGUAGGCCUAUAUUUCAAAUCUGUGUUCAUCAUCUGAUUAUAUAUUGAUGGCUUGUUGCUUAAUUAUAAAUUCGCCCAUUUACGAAUUGCCUCACGAAUGCCUUUAUUCUUAUCAAGAGAGACUGAAUGAUUGACGUCAUUCCAUAAUAAUUUAAUUUUUGACUGACAACUGACACGUUAUCUAAAAGCUUCACUGCAUGACAAACAGCACUUUGCCACUGCAGGCAGUUUGUGAAAAUUUUACAGACAGCUAGGACAAGUGUGGUGUAUAUAGGCCUAUAGACCACGUAUUUCUUCAAAAAAAACUUCCUAAAGGCCGAUUUACACUACGCAACUUUACCUGUGCUUGAUUUACACAGAACAACUAAAGUUGUAAGCAGGUUGUAUGCGACAGUUUUAGUAGAAAUUGUAUAUAGUGUAAAUCGGCUUUAAAGUCCAAAUCAAGUCCUUCUAUCAACUGUUAUAUAAUUGUUGAGGUAACAAUAAAAUUCAGGCUCCCAGAGAGGUACUCGUGACAUAACCAAAAUGUUUUGUGUGAAAGCACGGUGUAAUGCGUCCUGAAAUGUAAUUUUUCACAUAUGUGUACAUUGAUAUAAUGUAAGCACAUCAUUUAAAUAUAAUUUUUAGAUAAUAUUAAAGUGUGUAAUUCGAAAUGAAAAGUCUGUGUGAGACAAAAAUUAAAAAAU